GACAACUCGCGGGGAUCGUUUUCCACGCUGUGGAAGCAUUGUUCUUUCACUUUUUGCAGUAAAUCUUGCUGCUCACUCUUUGGGUCCACGCUGCUUUUAUGAGCUGUACCACUCACCGUGAAGAUCUGCAGCUUCACUUCAGAGCCUAGCGAGACCACGAGCUCACCGAGAGAAACAAACAACUCCAGACGCGCUGUCUUAAGAGCUAUAACACUCACCGUGAAGGUGUGCAGUUUCACUCCUGAGCUAGCGAGACCACGAACCCACCGGAAGGAAAAAACUCCGAACAUGUUUGAACAUCAGAAGGGGCAGACUCCAGACGCUUCAUCUUAAGAGCUGUAACACUCACUGUGAAGGUCUGCAGCUUCACUCCUGAGCCAGCGAUACCACAAACCUACCAGAAAGAAGAAACAACGAACCGAUCUGAACAUCAGAAAGGACAGACUCCAGACGCGCCACCUUAAGAGCUGUAACGCUCACUGCAAGGGUCCGCAGCUUCAUUCUUGGAGUCAGACCAAGAACCCAACAAUUCCGAACACACGGACCAGCUUCUUUCCUAACUCACUUAGGUUCUUCGUGCUGCUCUGGCAACUAACACCCUUGGCUGCAGGGGCUUGGACACUGCCCUUAGUCACUGACAAUUGUGUGAAGGCUGCUGUCAUUAACUUCACUUGAUCACCUUAGGCUCCUGUGAAGUGGUGAGCAAUUCAAAUUCCUGUCGUCAAAUCAUGCUGGAGUGCAAUGGCGUGAUUAUGGCUCACUGCAGCCUUGACCUCCUGGACCCAGGUGAUCCUCCCACUUCAGCCUCUCAAGUAGCUGGGACUACAGGCCUGAGGAACCAAGGAGAGCCCUUGACAGCGGGCAGGAAGAGAAGGAGAAAGAAGUGACUUUUAUUGAGCACCUACUGCAUUCCAAGCACUGCACAAGGCACUGUGUAUACAGAGACACAUAAGAUGCUGUCUCAGUCCUGAAUAGACAUCAGCUAGCAUGAAGAAAUCCCACAAAAACACAGUAUCAAGAAGGAAGAGGAGAAGGUGGAGCAGACAGAGAAGGAGGAAAAAUAAAGAAACAAAAGGAAUUACAGCAAAACAAGGGUAGUGAAGAAGAUAGCAUCAACUCAUGGAGAGUUUGAGCUUCAAAUCCACUCCUAGUUGCAAGGGCAGGAUCCACAGCCUGUUUAUCCGAGACUGCUCUGCACUUCCUGCUCAGAUUUGAGAGAGUUACGUGGCCUGGAAACUUCUUUCUCUAGGCUAAACUCCUUUGGCAUGUGAUUGGCAUCCAGACAAGAGCUGAGCAGCUUAAAGUCCCAGGAACUCCUUCAGGGGCACUUGGAUCUUAUUAAAUGAGAUCAGAGCCCUGGUGUGUCCUGCUCAGUGCCAGCAUUCCCACCCUGAAAAGAUGCCUUGCACACAGAAGGCGAGAAACAACCAUGCGUUGAGCGAGUGUGUCAUUGUGUCUGGAACAGGCUAAUGCCUUUCCCAAGCACCCAGGGUACCCCAGGGAGUCUGAAUUUUCUCUGGAAAUGACCCCUUCAUUCUUUCCCAGCUUGAUCUUCAGUAGUCCUGGGGUGGCCGUGAGAGGGUAUUUGCUCCUCUCCUUCACUGGAAUUUCUCCUCCCGCUCACCAGAAAGAAAAGAAUGAGGAAGUGUACAUGACACAUUCUCUGGGUCUGGCUUAUUUGUUCAAGGAACACAUUUGGGCCAGCACCCAAGGAUAAGGGACAGCCCUGCCAGGCUCCCCUGGGGACUGUGGAGGACAGGGUGUUUGGUUUCUGGGCUCAUCAGGAGCAAGGUGGCAGUUGAGAUUUGGAAGAUCCCAGCUCAUCCAGUGGGCAGCAGCCAGAUGGCAGGAGUUCCCCCACUGAGCAGGUGGGCUGUGGUCUGGGUCUCUGGACGUCACACAGACCUGGCCUGGGGGGCACUGGCUCUGUUCUGCCCCUGCCCUGUGCUCAUGGGGAGGCUGGGCUUCCGACUGGCUUUGCUGGAGCACCCAGGAACCUGAUGGGUAGAGCCUGGCCUGGACCAGCCUUGUUCUGUGUGAAGCCCUGAUGCCCGGCCUUUCUUCUGCCAGGGAUCCUGCUGCCAUAUUUCAUGCUGGAGUGUGUGCCCUCUCCAAGCCCAUUGCCCCCAGAACCACUGCCCUGUCAUCCAUCAAGCACAAUGUUGUGUCACCAGGAGUGGGGGUCCUGAUGGAUUCAUUACUUCAUAUGUCGGGUUUACAAACCUGUACCUCCCUACUGUCUGUCUGUCUCUCUCUCACAAACCUGUACCUCCCUACUGUCUCUCUCUCUCUCUCUCUCCCUCCCUCCCUCCCCCCUUUCUGUAACACACACACACACACACACACACACACACACACACACACACGGAGAUCUCAGAACCCACACCACCCAUUCUGUGUGGCUGGCUCUAUCACAGUGAGCUAGAAGCCAGUUUUGGAGAUGAAUUGACUGGAGCAUCUCUACAAAGUUAUGUUUUCACAAUUUUUUUAAGAGACAGUGUCUUUCUGUGGCCCAGGCUGGAGUACAGUGGUGCCAUCACAGCUCACUGCAGCCUCAACCUCCUUGGCUCAAGCAAUCCUCCCACCUCAGUCUGAGUAGCUGGGACUACAGGUACAUGCCACCAUGCACAUCUAACAGGCUUGACUAGAUUUCUUCAUUGACUUUAUUAUCUUCUUGAUAAUCAAUUUGAAAAACUGACAUUGAGCAGGGCCUAGCUUAUGGUUGCCUUGGUAGGUUGGCGGGAAUACCCCGGAUUCUUUAGCAAGCCUGGCUGUUUUCCUUCUCAUACACAAAGUGGUCAAGCCUGCUCUUGGCAACCGUGAUUGACUGCAUUCACUCCCUUCCCUGAUUAUCUCAUCCAGAUAGGUCCAAGUGCCAUUCUGUUGUUACUUGCUUGCUAUUAGUAAUUGUGACUAUACUUCGGUAGUGAAGUAAUUUUGUUGUAAUUCUCUUACAGUUACGUGUUUAUUUGUAUUAUGAUUUUUUGAGACAAAGUUUUGCUCUUGCCACUCAGGCUGGAAUGCAGUGGCAUGAUCUCGGCUCACUGAAACUGCUGCAUCCUGAGUUCAAGCAAUUCUCUUGCCUCAGCCUCCUGAAUAGCUGGGAUUGCAGGUGCCCGCCACCACGCCCAGCUAAUUUUUUGUUUUUAGUACAGACGGGGUUUCCCCAUGUUGGCCAGGCUGGUCUUGAACUCCUAACCUCAGAUGAUUCGCCUGCCUCGGCCUCCCAAAGUUCUGGGAUUAUAGGCGUGAGCCACUGCACCUGGCUAAUUUUUUGUAUUUUUAGUAGAGAUGGGGUUUCACCAUGUUGGCCAGGCUGGUCUUGAACUCCUAACCUCAGGUGAUCACCCACCUCGCCCUCCCAAAGUGCUGGGAUUACAGGUGUGAGCCACUGUGCCUGGCUUAUAGUUAUGCAUUAAUAAAUGUCAGAGCUGCUGUGAUAAGUCACAAAGGCAGCACUAGAGCACAGUCACUGUACAGUCUUUGGAGUCAAACUGACCCAAGUUCAAACUUGGCUCCACCACUAAACAGCCAUGUAAUUCUGAGCCAGUCACAUGACCUCUCUGAGCCUGUUUACUCAACUGAAGACAGAGAAUAACUACUUGUCUGGGUCAAUAUGGGAAUUAAAUGAAAUAAAGGAUAUAAAUCUGUUAGCACAGUAUCUAGGAUAUGUGGCCCACCAAAGAUAGACUCCGUUACUGGAGAUCUAUUUUUGGAACAAUCCAUAUUAGAGAUUGAUCUAGAAAAACUUGUAUUUGUUUCCUUACAUAUGAAGCAAGCUGUUCAUUUUAAUAAAUACAAAUUUAUAUUUCUAAGUGA